CUUCGACCUUAGACCGAGAGCUAAGCCCGGCGCAGGCGCGCUCCCCGCCCCAAUUGCUCUGCUAGAGAGCGCGGCGGGCUGUGGGCGUCCUGAGCGGGAAAAACUCAGUGUGAUGAAGGAUGGUGCUGUAUCCUGUGUCCUUCUCCGAUCCUACUGCUGUCUCUCUGCACUAGGUGAGUGCCUCGCUACCUACAGUAUCCAGAGCACUGAUUUGCCACCUUAACACUGCUCACAGCACCUAUGAUGAUUCCUAUAGGACCUAGUGUGGCAAAUUAACAGAAAAACUCCAGGCCUGGAAAAAGUCAUCACGGCCUCUCUCCCAACUCAGAAACUACCUCUGCCCCGGACGCUCUCAAAAUGGUGACUUCUCUGGGUCCCAACUUCCACAACAGACA
ensembl:lncRNA